rnacentral:rRNA from 1 species
UACAGAGGGUGCAAGCGUUAAUCGGAAUUACUGGGCGUAAAGCGUGCGCAGGCGGUUAUGCAAGACAGAUGUGAAAUCCCCGGGCUUAACCUGGGAACCGCAUUUGUGACUGCAUAGCUGGAGUACGGCAGAGGGGGAUGGAAUUCCGCGUGUAGCAGUGAAAUGCGUAGAUAUGUGGAGGAACACCGAUGGCGAAGGCAGCCCCCUGGGCUAACACUGACGCUCAGGCACGAAAGCGUGGGGAGCAAACAGG